rnacentral:rRNA from 1 species
AGAGUUUGAUCCUGGCUCAGGAUGAACGCUGGCGGCGUGCCUAAUACAUGCAAGUCGAGCGAACAGACGAGGAGCUUGCUCCUUCGACGUUAGCGGCGGACGGGUGAGUAACACGUAGGUAACCUACCUAUAAGACUGGGAUAACUUCGGGAAACCGGAGCUAAUACCGGAUAAUAUUUCGAACCGCAUGGUUCGAUAGUGAAAGAUGGCUUUGCUAUCACUUAUAGAUGGACCUGCGCCGUAUUAGCUAGUUGGUAAGGUAACGGCUUACCAAGGCAACGAUACGUAGCCGACCUGAGAGGGUGAUCGGCCACACUGGAACUGAGACACGGUCCAGACUCCUACGGGAGGCAGCAGUAGGGAAUCUUCCGCAAUGGGCGAAAGCCUGACGGAGCAACGCCGCGUGAGUGAUGAAGGUCUUCGGAUCGUAAAACUCUGUUAUUAGGGAAGAACAAACGUGUAAGUAACUGUGCACGUCUUGACGGUACCUAAUCAGAAAGCCACGUCUAACUACGUGCCAGCAGCCGCGGUAAUACGUAGGUGGCAAGCGUUAUCCGGAAUUAUUGGGCGUAAAGCGCGCGUAGGCGGUUUUUUAAGUCUGAUGUGAAAGCCCACGGCUCAACCGUGGAGGGUCAUUGGAAACUGGAAAACUUGAGUGCAGAAGAGGAAAGUGGAAUUCCAUGUGUAGCGGUGAAAUGCGCAGAGAUAUGGAGGAACACCAGUGGCGAAGGCGACUUUCUGGUCUGUAACUGACGCUGAUGUGCGAAGCGUGGGGAUCAAACAGGAUUAGAUACCCUGGUAGUCCACGCCCGUAAACGAUGAGUGCUAAGUGUUAGGGGGUUUCCGCCCCUUAGUGCUGCAGCUAACGCAUUAAGCACUCCGGCCUGGGGGAGUACGACCGCAAGGUUGAAA